CUAGCUGUAAACGAUGGAUACUAGGCGUUGAGAGUAUCGACCCUCUCAGUGUCGUAGCUAACGCGUUAAGUAUCCCGCCUGGGGAGUACGCGCGCAAGCGUGAAACUCAAAGGAAUUGACGGGGGCCCGCACAAGCGGUGGAGUAUGUGGUUUAAUUCGAUGCAACGCGAAGAACCUUACCAGGACUUGACAUGUCCGGAACCCUGCCCAAAGGCGGGGGUGCCUACGGGAACCGGAACACAGGUGGUGC
rnacentral:rRNA from 1 species